GGCUGGGAGCAGAAGGGCAGAGUGUGUUCCCCCAGAUGGUCCCCAGGCCCCGGCGAGCCCCGUAAGAGCAUCUGGGGACAAGGCCAGGGUGCGAGUUGUGGGCCCACCAGCCGCGGGCUCUGCCCACCAAAGACUGGCCUGUGUCCUGGGUCCCAGUCAGCACUCUCACCUUGGCUCUGCCUGACCAGGUGGAAUCUUUGGCUCAUUUAUGCUCACAGCAGGGUUACUCGCUCACAGACUGAAGUUCAGAGAGGCCUCUGGCACAGCUGCGGGGGCAGCAGCCACGGAACAAGUCUGGCUCCAGGCCUGGCACCUCAACCACCAGCCUCCCCCUCCUCUUCCCCUUCUCACCUGAAGCCAAGCCCCGCUCUCCACCCUCUCUCCACAGGGGCUGGGAAACGCUUCCCGGACGGGCCAUGCUCGGCAGGUUACUACUGUCCCCCUGGCCAGACCUCAGCCACCCCUUCAUCUUUCCGGUGCCCUCCCGGCUUCUCCUGUCCAGAAGGUUCUCCCCAGCCGAGGGCCUGUGAGAAUGGAACAUUCCAGCCCCGGGAGGCCCAGGGGUCCUGUGAGCCCUGUCCUGCUGGGUUCUACUGCCAGGCCUCAGGCACAGGUCCCUCUGCCAGAGCCCCCAAACCAUGCAUCCAGGGUUACUUCUGCCCCCCCGGCUCCCACUCAGCCACUGCCCACCCGUGCCCUAGAGGGACCUUCGGGCCCAGGCAAGGGGCCGCUGCAGAGCUGGACUGUGAGUUGUGCCCAGCAGGUUGGUGAACUCUGGACAGGAGCCCUCAGGAAGCCUGACUAAGAGGCUGGGAGAGAACAGGAAGAGUAGAAAAGGCAGCAGGAAGUUCCUGAGAGUAAGGGCCUGGCCCCUGGCCGUUGUCAGGGCAGCACCUGGAAAGUCCAGGUCCAC
rnacentral:lncRNA from 1 species